UCUUAACUAAGAGGCAUCUUCCACA
rnacentral:piRNA from 1 species